rnacentral:rRNA from 1 species
GGUCAAGUUAUUAAGGGUGCAGGGCGGAUGCCUUGGCACUAGGAGCCGAUGAAGGACGUGAUAAGCUGCGAUAAGCUUCGGGGAGUUGCACGUAAACUUUGAUCCGAAGAUUUCCGAAUGAGGAAACUCACUUAGAGUAAUGUCUAAGUAUCAUUAAGUGAAUACAUAGCUUAAUGAGGGGAACUCAGGGAACUGAAACAUCUAAGUACCUGAAGGAAGAGAAAGAAAUUCGAUUCCGUAAGUAGCGGCGAGCGAACGCGGAUUAGCCCAAACCAAUAAAGUUUUCUUUAUUGGGGUUGCGGACAUAUCAUAACGAAGAGGUAUCGUAAUUGAAGAGGUUUGGAAAGACCCACCACAGAAGGUAAUAGUCCUGUAUGUUAAACGAGAAGACUUCAGAUAUGAUCCAGAGUACCACGGGACACGUGAAACCCUGUGGGAAGCAGGAGGGACCACCCUCCAAGGCUAAAUACUACCUAGUGACCGAUAGCGUAUAGUACCGUGAGGGAAAGGUGAAAAGAACCCCGGGAGGGGAGUGAAAUAGAACCUGAAACCCUGCACUUACAAGCUGUGGAAGCACAUUUCUUGUGUGACCGCGUACUUUUUGUAGAACGGGCCAACGAGUUACGUUAAGUAGCAAGGUUAAGCACUUAAGGUGCGGAGCCGUAGCGAAAGCGAGUUUUAACUGAGCGUUCAGUUACUUGACGUAGACCCGAAACCGGGCGACCUACCCAUGAGCAGGAUGAAGCGAAAGUAAAAUUUCGUGGAGGUCCGAACCCACGAGCGUUGAAAAGCUCGGGGAUGACUUGUGGGUAGCGGUGAAAUUCCAAUCGAGCCCGGAGAUAGCUGGUUCUCCCCGAAAUAGCUUUAGGGCUAGCCUCAAGGUGAGAGAUACGGAGGUAGAGCACUGAAUGUCCUAGGGGGU